CAGGAUAUUCGCUUUGUGAUCUUCUUGAAAGAACACCUCAAAUUGGCUGAAUUAGUUUAAUGCUUUGGCCAUUUUGGUAUAUGGCUUUAAUCGGUUGAGAGUUUCAUCGGUCCUUUUUAUGCUUAUCCAUCUCUACAAUGCAAGCUUACUAAGUAGUAUCAUUUUUGCUGCAUUGCGGUCCCUGAAAAGAAGACUAGUUGAUCUUAUGAAAAACUUGGAGAAAUAUCCAUUUAUUUCAUAGAUAAUAGAAAUAUUAAAUGUUUCUCGUAAAUUCAACAGGUAAUAAAAUACAAGAGCGUAAGGGAAAGUUGGAAACAUUCACUCCCCAACAGAACCACCACCCGGGAAAAGUGAUCAGCAAUUAAAACCAGAAAAAACAGUCAUGUGUCAACCAUCUGAUCAUAACUCAAUGGUAUUGGACAUAUUACCUCCCGAUCACGCGCCGCCACGGAGUCCUGCAAUAUUGCCGGAUCUACAACGAUCAUCGACGAACAAAACAGUUCUAUUUGCAAAGUUAAGCCUAAUUUAUUUUUUUUAAUCAAUUAAUGAUGAUAUUUUAAAUUUAAAAUUAAUUUACAAUUCACAUGGCCAAAGUGAUAGAGACAGUUCUAACUUCUAAAGGUAGUCUUCCAUUGAUUCUUAGGUUAGUAAUAAGAUUUGAAACAUAAUUUAGAUUAUAGUGUCUUCUUUGCUUUACAUAAUAUGUUGAUAUGCAAUUUAAUUGAUGUUGAUGAUUGAUGUUUGUCUAAUGUUGAUAAUAAUGUCUGUAAUUUGUGGAUUCGGUAAAAGCAAAGAUGUUUUUGAAUUGAUGUUGAUGAUUGGUGUUUGUCUAAUGUUGAUAAUAAUGUCUGUAAUUUGUGGAUUCGGUAAAAGCAAAGAUGUUUUUGAAUUGAUGUUGAUGAUUGGUGUUUGUCUAAUGUUGAUAAUAAUGUCUGUAAUUUGUGGAUUCGGUAAAAGCAAAGAUGUUUUUGAAUUGAUGUUGAUGAUUGGUGUUUGUCUAAUGUUGAUAAUAAUGUUUGUAAUUUGCAAAUUCAGUCAAAGGAAAGUUGUUUUUGAAUUCGAAUGAUUUUUUCAAGCCGCUUUUUUUAUCGUGAGAAUCCUUCUGUAAACUAAUGAAGCUAGAAUAUCUGUUUCACCUCUAAAUAGAGCAAAUAAGAAUCAUCAAAAUGACCUUGCAUUGUCUUUUCGAAUUGACCAAAAUCUUUAAGAAACAGCUAAAUGGAGCUAGUCACAUUAGACUUGCCUCGCAACUCUUUAUGUAUGCAACUCAUUAAGUUAUGUGAAGCUGAUAUUCACAUGUUUUCUGUCUAUUUCGUGACUUUGAUGCUUAUGAAACAUUGAUGUAUCCAUGAUUACCUUUGCAACAAUCUUCUGCUUCUUAUAUUUGUAAGGAGAUGUGAAUCUUUCAAUAGUGCAGCCGUAGGUAUAUAAGUAUAUGUCUAUAGUGCAGGUAUACAAAUAUUUUCAGGAUAUAAUUGCUAUUUUGCAUCUCACUGUUGAACUACAAACUUAUGACAGUUAUGCGAUGCAAAUACACAAUUUCUUAGUAAAUCCAAACUUCAAGGUGCUAUGGUAUCUCACUAUUUUUUGUUCUAUGAAAAGUUACUCAUCAGAAGAUCUUAUUGACAAGAUUUAUCACAUGUGUUUGGAUCUUUAACUUGUAGUCUAAGAGAUAUAAGAAACUUCUUUAGGUGGAUAAUGUGCUUCAACUAUAAUUAGUGAAGAAAACCUAAGGUUAGUAUAUGAUAUGAAAGCAACACUUCAUUUCAAGAGUUUAGGUGGAUAAUGUCUUCCCUUAAUGUCUAAAUUUGUGAUCUUUUUCCUAAUGCUUAUGACCAGGGAAUCGACCCUUAUGCUGGAUACCAAAUGAGUUGUUUACAGUUUCACAUUUGUUGCAAUGCUUAUGCAUUUCUAAAUUAGGCAUUUAAAGACUUCAUAUAAUCUUUCCAACUCUAAGUCUAUAGUGCCUAUCCCAGAGGCUAGCGCAACACCUGUAGUUGUGGUGCCUGUGAAUCAUGGAUCCAAACAUGCUGAUAUUGGACAACGCAGCACCAGGUAGCCCUUCUAUGUUUCUGAGGUAAAAGCACUUGUUCGAGCAGUAGAGAAACUCGAAACUAGAAGGUGGCGUGAUGUUAAAUUGUUUGCCUUUGAGAAUGCGAAGCAUAAAACCUACAUUGAUUUGAAGGAAACUGAUUGCUACAACUUCAUUCUCAAACUUAAUACAGCUUGUGUCUUCCUUAGGUGAUUUCAGUAUUUCACAACAAGCAUAGAUUGCAGUAUGCAGUAUAAUGAACAAGAGCAUAUAGUACUUGAUAGAAAUGAAUGGUAGAUGAGAAUAUUUUUGCACCAUUACAACAUCUGAAUUUUUUGUUCAUGUAGCCAACCAUAUUAGCUUGGGAGUAAGGUUUGCCUUCUUGUUAUUAGAGUUGUUGUAUUCUGAGGGAUGGAUCAUCUUCAAAUAUUGAGCUUUCACCAGGUAUAGGAAUUAAACGUAUCUUAUUCAAGAUUUGUAAAAAAAUAAAUGGUUUCCCUAUAUUGAGCGUUGAAUCAUGUUGGUUUGCUUAUAUCAAGCAUUUUCAUUUGCUAUUCACCUAUCAUUAGGGUUAUUUAUAUCUAUCCUCAUUGUGUCUGUUAAUGUAGUGGGGCAAGUGCACAUGAUUUAAAGAGUGCCUUGCCCAUAGAACAUCAGCUACUACAGUAGGAUCUUCUGUCUCAGAAACACAGCCUGCCCUGGCUCUUUUCAAUAUCUCCAUCUUAAUUUCUUUCUUCUCGUUUUUUUCGAUUCCUUCCCCUAUCUCUUCCUCCACGGCCAAUCUACUAUCCACCCAAUAACCAUAUUAUUUGACAAGCUUUCAUCCUCUUCUCUUCCUACACCUUCACAUAUAUCUAUGUUUGUACUUACUCUUAUCUGACAUAAUUCUCUACACUCAGCCUCUAUUCUUUGUAAUUGCACGAGCUUCUUAAUUAACCCAUAUUUAAUCAUGGACUCGACUACUUCCUCACAGCAUCAAUGCAGCAUUGUAUAAGCUUGUACAGGAUCAAACCAGCAACACCAACUUGUUAAAACAACAUGUAUGGGUAUUUGGCAUAAAUGUUGAACGCUCGCACUAAUUAAUGUUUUUGUUUACAAUCCUAAAAAUUCAUUUCAUUCUUUAUAUUGGAUUUGGCGCAUUAUUUUCGGUUUGUGAUCAUUUUGCCUUUGAUACUAGGCAUAUUUCUAUUUAUCAGUGUAGAAUUAUUGAUUACUCUGACACUGUAGACAUGAAGGAAAAGUAUUCUACUUUGCAUGAAUUAACAAACACAUCAGCAGUACAUAAAGUUAAAAUCAAGGUCAUUGAGAAGUCCAGAGCGUUUCAAUCACGAGGCAAAAAGAAAUACCAACGCCUUCUACUGCAAGAUGAAAAGGGUGAUGUUAUGAGAGCAACCUCUUCGAAAAUGACAUACAAGCAUAUGAUUCUUUAAUUCAACAAAAUCAUGAGUAUCUGAUUUCGAAUCCUACAAUUAAGGCCAUCGAUGAAAAGUACCAAACCAGAACUGGGGAAUAUCAAAUGACAUUUAGUAAGCGGACUGUAAUUCAAGCCAUUGGUUCCUCUUCCAACGCUUCUGGUCCAGUCUAUCAUUCAAUAGCAACUAUUCCUAGAACAAUAUAAUUGAUGUUGUUCUUUUCAUUGGAGAUAAGCCCAUGGUAAAAGGUGCAUUUGAGCAACAAAACAGCGUGUCAGAAAUUAUUAUCACUGAUCAUAGCUCACAUUAACCCUUAAUUGUGUCGGCAUGGAAUGAUAUGGCAGACUUCUUUAAAACAAAGCCUCCUGAAAAUCAAAUCGUUGGUUUCACAUCUCUAAGGGUUACAUCUCACAAGGGUUUUGGCCUAUCAACUACGAUGUCGUCUUUAAUCAUUCCAACACCAACUGGUGACAAGGCAGAUUCCCUAAGCCACUGGGCCUUUUCUCAUGGAUCCUUUCUUUGCGAGCGCAAAACACAAAUCCUGAAGACCCGCAUGCCCUUAAACCAAAGGCAGCAAACCACAAUUGCCUUCAUCAAAAGCAAGACGCAAAUACUAUCCAAGAAGAGCGAUAUUGGAUAAAAGCAUUGCUCGAGAAUUGUAGCUACAAUGAUAUAAGAAAAUUUAUAGGGUGUGAUCAAUGCACUAAAAAGACAGACAAUAAAGGAAUAAAGUUUUUGAAUGUCCAUGGUGCCACAAGAAAGAGAGCGUCGCUAAGCCACGAUUAGCGCUCACUUUCGACGCCCACGAUAGCACGGGCUCUAUCCAACUACUGCAUUCAAUGACACCAUAGCAGAACUCUUUGGAAAAACUAUCGAUGAACUAUAUAGUCCAACUACUUAUGAACAUAUUGAAUCUUAUCAAGACAUUGCUCAAUCCUUACGAGUGAAACCGAUUGAGAUACAGCUGGUUCCAAUUGUCACUCUCUCUAAAAGUGGUGUGCCAAACUGGGUUCUAAAAUCGAUUGCAAUUGCACCAGAUACUUCAACUAAUCCACAACACUUGGCCUGCAAGUCGCCCGAGACUCAUUCAUCACAAGAAAGUGUACCCGCUUAACUAAUUGAUGAUACUUCUUUACAUACUCAAGAACCAUCAUUUGCAUCAGAUAAAGUAGAGACUGAUACUCAUUCAUCAGAGCAAAUUGUACCAGCUCCAUUGACUAUUGCUCCUUCAAAUGAUCCACAACCGUCAUCUGCAUCAAAGAAAGUAGGGACAGUGAAGCGCAGUUUAGAUUUUUCGGAUGCAACCACUUCUUCCGAAGUAUUGGACUUCAACGCUUGAGUUGUCUACGAUGUUAGCUUUUGAAACACUAUCUUAAAUAUUAUUUCCUUUUUGGAACACUUGUUUGGCAACUCCAAUUAUAGGAGCUCUAACUUUUCAUGCUAACUCACCACAACCAUGUUCAUUUUACUUAACUAUUUAUUAAACAUGUAGUACUAUCUUUGCUUUUGUAUUACAACUUUAUAUGGGGACACUUCAAUUGAAUACAAAGCCUUACCACUUCUUGGAUGAUCA